UCUGGUCUUGUAGGUCCAUCUAAGUCCACCCACUCUUCAAGGCUCAAUGCACGUCUUCGCUUUCUCAGGGUACUUCACUGAGGCCUUGGGUCCAGGCGUGAUUCUCUCCUGAGUCCCUAGGACGUCUGUCUUGAAUACAUCCACUCUAAUGGCACUAGAUCUUUUAGUCUUUCGUUGUUUGUAAUCUGGGGCAUGAGGCAUUGAGGCUGUUCCUCUUCCCAGUAUGUGGUCAUUAAUUGGUCUGUUUACCAGAGUUUUCAGCUUCAACAUCAGUCCUUCCAAUGAACUCAGGACUGAUCUCCUUUAGGACGGACUGGUUGGAUCUCCUUGCUGUCCAAGGAACUCUCAAGAGUCUUCUUCAACAUCACAUUUCAAAGGCAUCAGUUCUUCGGCACUCAUGUUGAAGCUGAAACUCCAAUACUUUGGCCACCUCAUGUGAAGAACUGACUCAUUUGAAAAGUCCCUGAUGUUUGGAAAGAAUGAAGGCAGGAGGAGAAGGGGACGACAGAGGAUAAGAUGGUUGGAUGGCACCACUGACUCAAUGGACAUGAGUUUGAGUAAACUCCAGGAGUUGGUGAUGGACAGGGAGGCCUGGCGUGCUACAGUCCAUGGGGUCGCAAAGAGUAGGACACGAAUGAGUGAACUGAACUGACCAGAGUUUUCAGGUCUUUCUCCAUUUCCAGACUCAUGGGAGCACAGCACAACGGCUGGUGUAUGUUCAAUAACUACUGCUGACUGGUAUCUACUGAGACAAGAGAGCAGCCCAGCCUGUUGUGCAGAGUACAGAAUGUUCUCUUCUGUGAACUAAGCUUGAACUUUUCCAACCCACUUUGUUUGAGGAACCAUACAGACACAGAGGGGAAAAAACAGGGAAGAUAACCCCCAAAUUGUUGAAAUCGUUGUGUUCUCUCUGAUUUUGGCCCUGAUCAUUUGCUUUUCACUGCUGGAAAUUAAAAAUCCCAAGCAUUACAA
ensembl:lncRNA